rnacentral:lncRNA from 1 species
CUUUCCUAAAUCGGAAUUGGCAACCAAAGUUUCUAAAGUUGGAAGUUUCUAUUCUUGGAGGUUUCCAUUUUCGUUAGUUUCUAUUCUCGGCUUUGGGCUUUUGGAUGACCCAUCCUUACUUCUUGGACCUAUGCCGCACCUAAACCCUAACCUUAGUCCACUUAAUCAGCCGCACCUAGGCCUUGUUCACAUGCAAAAAUCUGAUUAGUCGCCCUAAGCCCAAUGCCGCACCUUUCCAUCCUAGAAGCCCUAUUUUACAAACCUUAACCCUAGCCCAUUGUUUUAAUCUGAUUUGUUAGUGUUUUUAAGUGCAUAUAUAUUUAGUUUCUACACCUAGCCGCACGAUUCCCCCUCUCCACAAUUCAGAAAUCGUCUAAACCCUAUUCCCACACCUUGCCGCAGCCACCUUCAUCCAUUCCAGCCACUUCCCAUCCUUGCCGCAGCCUUCAUCCACCUCCAUACACCAUUCUACACCUCUAGCCACCAUCCUACACCUCCAUACACCAUCCCCACUCCUUGCCGCACCACCAUACCAUCCUAAUUCCCUUCUAAAACCAAAAUCACAUCCAAAAACACCCAAAACCCUCUCUGCCGCAGCAAGGAGAAAAAGAAAGAGGAGCUUGAAGUCAAAAAUUCAAAGUGGAAUUCUUGGGCGU